UACGGGGGGGGCAAGCGUUGUUCGGAAUUACUGGGCGGAAAGGGCUCGUAGGCGGCCAACUAAGUCGGAUGUGAAAUCCCCAGGCUCAACCUGGGAACUGCAUCCGAUACUGGAUGGCUUGAAUUCGGGAGAGGGAUGCAGAAUUCCAGGUGUAGCGGUGAAAUGCGUAGAUAUCUGGAGGAACACCGGUGGCGAAGGCGGCAUUCUGGACCGAUAUUGACGCUGAGGAGCGAAAGCCAGGGGAGCAAACGGG
rnacentral:rRNA from 1 species